CCGAUUCCCUAGGGGGGUGGGUGCAUUGGGUUGCCCGCAUCAGUACUGGAGGUCUUAAUGCAAGCCCGGAUUCAUCAGUGGUGGUGCCUGUCUCUCUGCAGAUCUAGUCUGCUUUCUGCUGGAGAGGGUUUUUAAAGGUUUUGGGGGGAUUGGUGCUAGGAGGCCACAGAGUACCGAAUUGAAGGGCAGGACAGAACGAGAUCUCAGUAUAUUACAGAGGUGGCUUGGGAGAAUUCCUUGCAUCAAAUCCAAUUUGCAUAAUAUGAAUUGAAAUAAAGCAACAUCUGUCUGUAGUCCAUUCUGUUCCUAUUGAGUUUUCUUUAGAGGUCUUUGAUAUCUAAGUUUUCUAAGUCAUCUAAGCUUUAUUAUUCUCCUUGACUUCUUUCUUAGUUAUUUUAUGGUUGUAUUUGUCUAGGUCACACAGGAAAUAUGGAGGUCCCCUGACAUUAUAGUUUUAUUCUCUAUUUCUUCCUGUAAUGCAUGUAACUUUUCCUUUAAAAAUUUGAAUCUCAUGCCCUUGUGCACAUAUCUCUUUUCUGACUCCAUUGACUGUGGUUCCCCUAAACAAGAAUUAGGUUGCACACUAAUCCCUUUCAGUGAGGCCUAAUUUUUCUCUGCAUUUUUUCUGACAUCAAGACUGCUUCCCUUAUGUUUUAUCCUUCAUAUGAGGUAUAACAGUUUCUGCUUCAGCCCUCUAUUUUAACUCUGGUUGUCUCUUUCUUUCCAAUAUGAAUCUUUUCAAAAUACAAAAAAAAAAAACAAACAAACAAACAUAGUCUGAAGUCUGGUUUCUAAUUCAUUUUACUGCUCACUUGCAUUUAGGAGUGAGUUCAUCCCACUAACACAGUCAUGUUGUAGUUGAUUCUGUUUUUCCUUCUUUCUUUCUUUUUAUCCCCAUUCCCCUGCUAAGUUCUAUUUUGCACAUGACCACUGCAUUCUUUUAACUGCCCAACGUUUAUCACCACUUUUUCUUCUCCUCUCCCAUUUGCCUACUUACCUUUAGGGUAAAAUAGAUUUUUUGACCCAUGGAAGAAGUACAUAUAAAUACAGAUAUCGAUAUUUCCCCUCU
rnacentral:lncRNA from 1 species